GUCCUACCCCCUGACGCUCCUACAAAUGUGCUCAUCCCCUGUUUUCCCCAAACCAGGAUUUGCCAUUGCCAAGCCCUGGGAGGCUGCGAGGAAGAGGAAGAUGCCUCAGGACACUGAUGCAGAGCAGGAGCUGAGCAUGCAGAGCAGGGAGGACAAAUGCCCGCGGCAGAACCUGGUGGAAGAGGCCGUUUUGAGCGGCUCCACGGCGCAGGAAGGCAACGGGGAGGAAAAGGCGCGGAGAUGCCACACGAGGAGGGGCUGCAAACGCAGCUGGCGGGCAUCUGAGGGGGAAAGAGGCCAGCCUGGGCUGGGAAGGCGGCCAAAGAUCAAGCCAGAGCUCGGAGCUGGUGCUCCACGAGCAGCUCCAUGAUAGGGAGAAGCCCCACACGUGCAGUGAGUGUGGGAAGAGCUUCAGGAGGAACUGCAACCUGAUCAGGCACCAGAAGACCCACACUGGGGAACGGCCCUACGCGUGUGGGGAGUGUGGGAAGAGCUUCAGCGAGAGCUCCACCCUGAUCACGCACCAGAGGACUCACACUGGGGAGAGGCCCUACGAGUGUGAUAAAUGCAGGAACAGGUUUGUGACCAGCUCCCAUCUCGUCCGGCACUAUCAGAGUCACACAGAGGAGAGGCCCUUCCAAUGCCCUGACUGUGGGAAGGGAUUCCAACGCAACUCCCACCUCAUCAGACACCAGCACAUCCACACGGGGGAGAAGCCCUAUGAGUGUGAUAAAUGCAGGAAGAGGUUUAAGAUGAGCUCCAGUCUCCUCCUGCACUAUCGGAUUCACACAGAGGAGAGGCCCUUCCGCUGCCCGGACUGUGGAAAGGGAUUCAAGCACAACUCCAUCCUUGUCAAGCACCGUCGCAUCCAUACUGGGGAGAGGCCCUACGAGUGUCCCCAGUGUGGGAAGAGCUUCUCCACGAACUCUACCUUGAACCAACACCAAUGGAGGCACCAGUAAGGCAAGUCCUGCGAGUGCGCCGAGUGCAAGCAGAGCUUUGUGCGCUGCUCCUGCUCCAUCCCCCACUGGAGGAACCACAUUGGGCACAGCCCUGGUGACCCACAUUCUGUGUGAUCCAUUUUGGGAACACACCUGUCUACUUCUCCUUUUGGUUUGGCCUUAAUUUUCUUCUGCUUCAUCUUCAUCCCUUAAAAACUGCCAAAACAGAGUUAAAUGAAUGAAAUUGAUCAAAGAUAUCUAAAGUCCCACCAUUUCACAGGUGUUUGAGGGGGAAUUUAGGAUUUGGGGACACAUUCUGUGUGGAGCGCCCCUGUUGCUAAGAGGCAGGAAUUUGAUCUCACCCUUCUUGUGUUGCUAAGAACUCCUCCCUUGACCCAAACGUGAACUCCACCCCUGGGAUACCCUAUAAAAACCCCACAGGCCUGCCUUUGCCCUGUCUUUUGGGAGUCAGAAAUGGAUUCUGGAGCUUUCUGGACCUGUCUCAUUUGUUCCUGGCACCGGCAGCUGCAGCCUCCCUGGACACCAUGAACUCUGGAGAAAGGAGGCAGCCAGUGAGGACAGGUCCUGGAUUGCAAGAUCAGUAUGUGUUCUGUUUGCCAUCUGUCAGAGGUGGGGCAGUUAUCUUCGGUUCAUUGGGCAGUUUAUCUCUUCCACAACCAAUCCUUUCUCCAACAGAUAUCCUCUGAUAAUGGAUGGGCCAUUAAUUAUUAAUUAUCUGCUGUUAAUGGGCCAUUGAGUGUCCCUGCAUGGCUGAUAAAAUGACAUUAUGUCAUUGGGUGAUGCUCCACCCAGGAGGAGGAGCCAAGCAUUCCUACCUGGAUAGACUCUGAGGUUUGGAACACCACAGCAACCUUUUCCCACUGGAUUGCCAGAGGAAGACCAGGCCCAUCUGCAGCACCCCUGGACUUUCAGAGGAAAACUCCACCCUUCUCCAGGGUCCCUGCUCCAACAGAACCACCCCUGGAACUGCAGGAGGGCUGCAGCCACCAUGGAAUGGGACUGUGCCAUCACCCUGACCUACAGGGUGUCAGGUCCUGUUCUGACUCUGUCAGUGGCUUUUUUUUCUUUGUACUACUGCAUUUGUAUUUUUACAUUUUCAUAAAAGGAACUGUUAUUCCUGCUCCCAUAUCUUUGCCUGAGAGCUCCUUAAUUUCAAAAUUAUAACAAUUCAGAGGGAGGGGGUUUGCAUUUUCCAUUCCAGGGGAGGCUCCUGCCUUCCUUAGCAGGCAGCUGGCUUUUCAAACCCAGACAAUAACAAAGUUACUUUAACACCACAGAUAUAAAAUCCAUUUUAAUAUCUGCAAAAAGCCAAUAUUAUGUGUCCAUAACAAUAAACCUCUUGCUGAGUGAU